UUGAAAUACCAGUUUCCAUAUGAUCACUGAAGUUAAGCCACAUUGAGACGGGCCUGUACCUAGAUGGGUGAAUGCUUGAAAAUACCAGUUGCUGUAAG